rnacentral:rRNA from 1 species
GAUGAACGCUGGCGGCGUGCUUAACACAUGCAAGUCGAACGAUGAAGCCCAGCUUGCUGGGUGGAUUAGUGGCGAACGGGUGAGUAACACGUGAGUAACCUGCCCUUAACUCUGGGAUAAGCCUGGGAAACUGGGUCUAAUACCGGAUAGGAGCGCCUACCGCAUGGUGGGUGUUGGAAAGAUUUAUCGGUUUUGGCUGGACUCGCGGCCUAUCAGCUUGUUGGUGAGGUAAUGGCUCACCAAGGCGACGACGGGUAGCCGGCCUGAGAGGGUGACCGGCCACACUGGGACUGAGACACGGCCCAGACUCCUACGGGAGGCAGCAGUGGGGAAUAUUGCACAAUGGGCGAAAGCCUGAUGCAGCGACGCCGCGUGAGGGAUGACGGCCUUCGGGUUGUAAACCUCUUUCAGUAGGGAAGAAGCGAAAGUGACGGUACCUGCAGAAGAAGCACCGGCUAACUACGUG